rnacentral:lncRNA from 1 species
UCUUGGUUUUUGUUUUGGGAUUUUGGUUUUUUAAGACAGGGCCUUGCUAUGUGGUUCAGGCUGGCUUUGAACUCACUGUGUAGCCCAAGCUGGCCUUGCAAUGAUCCUGCCUCAGCCUCUGGAGUGCACCACCAUGCCUGGCCUGCAGUGAAGUUUUCUGCUCAAUUCUAUGGAGCUAUCCUAGUUGUUCAAAGUAAUGGGGAAGUUUUCAGUAACUAAGGAUUGGUUUUAGCCUGGGUCCCUUUCAACUUUUCUAUUUUUGGUUCUGAUCUGACAGGAUGAUAAUCCAAUUCACACUAAAGAGCAGUGACUGAGAGGUGCUUACCACUUCCUAAAGAACAUGUGGACAAAGAUGAGUAGAAAAUACGUCCGUGUUGCUGUUAUCCAGAAUAUUAUCGCUUUGUAACUUGUGCUUCACUUUUUAAAAUUAAAUAAUGGGAUUUUGAUAGUCAACUGAAAAUUCUAAGGCUUCGGGCUAGUUCCAGGAAUGCAUAAUGCUAGUGCUCUUGUUCUCUCAUUUCCCUUCCUCCUUUGCAGGAUCAUGUGACUGCAAAGGUUCUGCCCAGUGGUCUUGUGAGCUGGAAAACUUAACUGCCGCAACGCCUGUCCUUCCUGUGGCAGUGUGCAGUUGUGAUCAAAGCAUAACCUGACCUAAUUCGGCUGACACAACUUCUGUUUUGAUUCCUAUUCUUCCCCAUCUAGAGACAGCUACCGUCAUGAAGUUGUUGGCCAUCUUUCCAUGCCAUUGUGUGGAAAAUGCACCUGCACUCUCUAGACAUUUCUUAAACGAAACCUUUCAUCCUGUAUAUAAAGGAAUUAUGAUGAAGCUAACUAAUAUUCUUUUAUACUUCUUACUUUUUUUGAAUCUAACUCGAAUAAUUUUUACUUUUUAAAUUCCUUCUUUAAGAAAGUACUUUUGACCCCAACAUCUGAAAAACAUAUUUUUCAAUAUUUUCUUCUAAUAGUGUUAAUUUUUAUUUUUCACUUGGACACAUGUGAGAUAUACCUGGGAAACCUGUGAAAGAAAAGGAUCUAAUUAUUUUCCUGUAGGAAAAGCCAUUGUUCCCAGCACUAUUCUUCCCACUUUGUCUUCUGAUAAAACACACAGAUUGAGCUCACCUCUCCACCUGUUGUUGCUGCUUCUGGUGAGCUGUGAUUAUCUGCAUCUGCCUGUGUCUCUGGCUUUGGGGUCCUGUGACCUCCAUUCU